rnacentral:rRNA from 1 species
GACGAACGCUGGCGGCGCGCUUAACACAUGCAGUCAGCAGAAAGCGGCGAACGGGUGAGUAAUAUAUCGGAACGUACCGAGUAAUGGGGGAUAACCAAUCGAAAGAUUGGCUAAUACCGCAUAUUAUUCGAGCGGCCGAUAACUGAUUAGCUAGUUGGUGGGGUAAAGGCCUACCAAGGCGACGAUCAGUAGCGGGUCUGAGAGGACGAUCCGCCACACUGGUACUGAGACACGGCCCAGACUCCUACGGGAGGCAGCAGUGGGGAAUUUUGGACAAUGGGGGCAACCCUGAUCCAGCCAUGCCGCGUGUAUGAAGAAGGCCUUCGGGUUGUAAAGUACUUUUGUUAGGGAAGCGGUACCUAAAGAAUAAGCACCGGCUAACUACGUGCCAGCAGCCGCGGUAAUAC